rnacentral:rRNA from 1 species
AACGAACGCUGGCGGCGUGGAUAAGACAUGAAAGUCGAACGGGACAUUUCAGGUAGCAAUAUUUGAAAUGUCCAGUGGCGAACGGGUGCGUAACACGUGGAUUAAAUUCCGGGAAGCGGGGGAUAGCCCAGGGAAACUUGGAUUAAUACCGCAUGUGGUCGAAAGACUAAAGGUGGGGACCGAAAGGACUGCCACUUCCCGAUUGGUACGCGGCCUAUCAGCUUGUUGGUGAGGUAAUGGCUCACCAAGGCGACGACGGGUAGCUGGUCUUAGAGUACGACCAGCCACACUGGAACUGAGACACGGUCCAGACACCUACGUGUGGCAGCAGUCGAGAAUCUUUCACAAUGGGGGCAACCCUGAUGGAGCGACGCCGCGUGGAGGAUAAGGUCUUCGGAUUGUAAACUCCUGUCAUGCGAGAACAAGGUACCCGGGUUAAUAACCCGGUUGUUUGAUGGUACCGCAAGAGGAAGAGACGGCUAACUCUGUGCCAGCAGCCGCAGUAACAC